rnacentral:rRNA from 1 species
UACGAAGGGGGCUAGCGUUGCUCGGAAUCACUGGGCGUAAAGGGUGCGUAGGCGGGUCUUUAAGUCAGGGGUGAAAUCCUGGAGCUCAACUCCAGAACUGCCUUUGAUACUGAGGAUCUUGAGUUCGGGAGAGGUGAGUGGAACUGCGAGUGUAGUGGUGAAAUUCGUAGAUAUCGUCAAGAACACCAGUGGCGAAGGCGGCUCACUGGCCCGAUACUGACGCUGAGGCACGAAAGCGAUGGGGAGCAAACAGGG